GCUUAUCAAUACUUCGGUUUUCAAGACCGACUCUUUCAACCGCUCAGACAUCCAUCCCUGCGCUCGCCCGCCCUAUCUAUCUGCGCGCUGGCAGGUAGGGGCAACUCUAUGUGA
rnacentral:rRNA from 1 species